UUUUUUUUCAUGAACAAUCUAAACAAGUUUGGACCAUUUUGAACGACGUGUAGUUUAAAAAAUAGCACGGUGGCCCGUACUUGUUAUUAAAUUUUUGAAAAAUCUUCUUUUUGGCAAAGUAUUAAAAAAAUCUUACUGAGGGAAUAUAAACCAAUGAUCCACCUUAUUCUGAUAUAAGUACUUGAUAUUAAUCGUACCCAAUCGAUA
rnacentral:lncRNA from 1 species